GCUCAGAGGUUUAGAGAAGAAUCUCCUUCUGAGCCUCAGCCCCAUGACCCAUGGCCAGGCGAUGUGGUAAAUACGAUGUGAAGCUGGACAUGGAACAGUGACCAGAGCAUCUCCAUCAGUGAAUAUGGUAUCCAAAAGCGGUCUAGGUUCCUCAUAUUAGUCAGGAUACAAAAACUGCUGUUGUGAAUUAGUAACUUCAAAUCUCGAUGCUUCACCUGAUAAUAGGUUUAGCUUUUGCUCAUGCAAUAGUCUAAUUGUGUGUCCCAAGAGUGACCUUCCACGUGGUCAUUUAGAGGCCCUAGUGGUUCCAUGAUCCCAGGGACACCAAGAAUCCUCAUCUGGAUCCUCUGCACCUGACUGGUAAAGGAUGAUGGACAGGAGAAUGUGGAAGAUUGCACAGAGCAUCCUAUGAUAAGACUUGGAAGUGUUGUACAUCACUUUUCCCCUGUACUCCAUUGACCGAAAUUCGCUUACAUUGUCCCACUUAGAUGCAAGGUCUCUGUGUCUUUGCUUACAUUAUUGUCUCAGCACGGAAUGCCUUCAGCCUUCAUUUUCACUAGCCAAAUUUACCUGUUUUCCAGAAACAACUGAAAGAUCACCUUCUUUAUAAAGUCUUAUUAAUGUAGUUAUUCCACCAGAAACAGAGAAACCAAGGCCCCACUCUGUCGUGAAGACGUGUUGCAACAGGUUAAGAGCAGGUGGUCACAAAAUGGUUUAAAUGAUUAUUCAAGGCAACCGUUUUUUCAAAAAGCAAAUGAAUGUCACAGAUGAUACGUUUUGGUGUCAACUCUGAUGUCUCCAUCAUACACUUACUUGGUUUUACACUAUGUAUA